AGUGGUCAUAAUUCACUCCUAUAAGUGCAGGAUGAAAGAGUGGACAGGGACGAGAAUGCGAAUGUCUCAGUCUUAAGUUUUUAUAGUGUAGCUCCUCUCUCUUUCUCUUCUCUUUUACCAGUGGUCUCUCAGUGGUUCAGACCUUGGACUUCUGACCAGAAGGAUUAUGAGUUCAAAUCCCAGCCCUGACCCGUACCAGCAGCUCCUCAGCGUAUAAAUGAGAUAACUGCAGGAUGGAUGAAUUGGCGUAAAUGUAGACCACCAACGAUUACGGCUUCGCUCAAAAUCAAUACCACUUUCACAUCUCAGAGUAGCUCCUGAUACUGGAGACUCCUUCCUGUUAGAUGUUAUAAAAGAUAGGAACAUAAAGAGGUCGUCCCCGACUCUGAGGACCUGAUUGUAAGUUGAGACAUGGCCAAGCCUACACAGGAGUUUAAACCGUGGUGAUCAGUAUGGAGAAGUAAACGGUCAUGUGUGGCAGUCAGGGGAAGAGAUUUAAUAUCACCAAGAUGCUCCUACACCUCCAUGUUGUACACAUAGAUGACCACCAGGCCCAGGAGACAAGCUAAUUGAUCUGUUUUAAUCCAGGUCAAGGACGUGGAGGUGAAGAACGUCCCCAGGUUGGCGAGGACACGGCGAGUGCAAUAAGAGGAUCUGCAGGACAUGGAAAGAGGAUUUGAGGCUUAACUCUGACCUGGAAACAUGUCU